AUACUUUAGUUUCUCUUCAGAUCAUAUAAGUCUUUUGACUUUUACUAAAGAUUUCCAUACAGAGGAACAUUUCUAGUGAAAAAUCCAUCAUUAUCAGUGCCUAGAAAGUUGGCUUA